GAGUGUCGAAUGAUGCAGUGUCAGUAGAUCAUGCAAUUCAAAGGAAAGGUGAGACCUUGGUCUCGAAAUGUUCUUGAUGUGUUAAUUCGGUCGCAUGUUGAGGACAUAAAUCAUCUUUUUUGUAGCAGUGAGUUUGGUAUUUAUUUUCUCAGAUUUUAAACAUUAUGGUAAA